AGUACCCUGCCGUGCCCGUGAUGUCAUUAUAGCGCUCUGAGCCAACACCUGAAUCACGGGGAUCGGACGUUCCAAGAGUAAGGCGGUAGCCCUCGUUCGGUAAGGCCGAGCUCCUGGGCAGACCCCCACCUGCGAGAGCAGGUUCAGGGCACCUUGACACACGGCAUAGCGGGGACUCC
rnacentral:other from 1 species